GGAUGCGAUCAUACCGGCACUAAUGCACUGGAUCCCAUCAGAACUUUGUAGUUAAGUGUGCUGAGGCGAGAGUAGUACUAGGAUGGGUGAUCCCCUGAAAAGACCUCGUGUUGCACCCC